UACGAAGGGGACUAGCGUUGUUCGGAAUCACUGGGCAUAAAGCGCACGUAGGCGGAUGUGUCAGUCAGGGGUGAAAUCCCGGGGCUCAACCUCGGAACUGCCUUUGAUACAGCACGUCUCGAGUCCGGAAGAGGUGGGUGGAAUUCCUAGUGUAGAGGUGAAAUUCGUAGAUAUUAGGAAGAACACCGGUGGCGAAGGCGGCCCACUGGUCCGGUACUGACGCUGAGGUGCGAAAGCGUGGGGAGCAAACAGG
rnacentral:rRNA from 1 species